rnacentral:rRNA from 1 species
UGUCAGCAGCCGCGGUAAUACAGAGGGUGCAAGCGUUAAUCGGAUUUACUGGGCGUAAAGCGCGCGUAGGCGGCUAAUUAAGUCAAAUGUGAAAUCCCCGAGCUUAACUUGGGAAUUGCAUUCGAUACUGGUUAGCUAGAGUGUGGGAGAGGAUGGUAGAAUUCCAGGUGUAGCGGUGAAAUGCGUAGAGAUCUGGAGGAAUACCGAUGGCGAAGGCAGCCGUCUGGCCUAACACUGACGCUGAGGUGCGAAAGCAUGGGGAGCAAACAGGAUUAGAUACCCUCGUAGUCC